CACUCAUCUCUUCCAGAUUCCAACUCUCAGAAACAAUGGGGUUUCGUUCUCUGCUCAACACUGUAAUUCUUCACACUAAAAACAUCAAUGGAACUUCUUCUUCAACCAAACCCCUCCUUAAUCACUCAUUCAUUCAACAAAAUCAAUCUCUCCUCCUCCUCCUUGUUCCAAUUGAGGGCAUCAGAUUCAUUUCUUCCACCACAAAUCAAGAUUCUUCUCCAUCUUCUUCAUCUUCAGAUGUGGUUUCUUACUUGAUAAAUUCAUGUGGUUUAUCAAAAGAAAAAGCUAUCACUACUGGUAAAAAAAUCAAACUCAAAAAACUCUCAUCCCAACAAGAUGAUGCCCUAACUUUACUUCAAACUUACGGAUUUGACAAAUCUCAAAUCUCUAAACUCAUUACCAAAGUUCCAUCUAUUCUCUUAAUCAAUCCACACAAAACCCUAAAACCCAAAUUGGAAUUUUUCAAUUCCAAAGGGCUUUCUGGAAUUGAACUUGCCAACUUCUUUACCUGUAAUCCAUAUAUCUUUAGAGCAAGCUUAAACUUGAUCAUCCCUCUCUAUGAUGCCCUCAAGGGCAUUCUUCAUAAAGAUGAAAUUGUCAUUGGUACCUUAAAACGCUGUGUAAUGGGUUAUGCACAGGGUCAUGUCAUGAAUCUGAAACUCAAUAUUGGUCUUUUGAGAAAUGAAGGUGUUCCUGAAUAUGACAUUUUUAAGUCUGUAACCAGGCGACCGAGAGGGAUACUGAUUACUAAUGUUCGAUUCAAGAAGCUAGUAGAGAAUGCCAGGAGAUUGGGUUUCGAACCUCGUUUUAAUUCGUCUAAUUUUAUUGAAGGUUUACAGGUAUUGUUAAGUAUGAGUGAAUCGUCAUGGGAAAGGAAAUUGCUAGUUUACAAGAGAUUGGGUUGGUCUGAUACAGAAAUUCGAGUUUCAUUUAUGAAACUACCAAAUUGUAUGAGGUAUUCUGAGAAGAAGAUAACAUUGAUAGUGGAUUUCCUUGUCAACGAAAUGGGUUAUAUUCGAUCUGACAUUGCUAGUAGUCCUCGUGUUUUGGGUUCUAGCUUGAACGAUACAAUUAUCCCGAGGUGUUCUGUUUUGCGAAUGCUAGUUUCCAAGGGUCUAAUUGAGAAGCUAAUCAAACCAACUACAUUUGCAACAAUGACUGAGAGGCGUUUCUUGGACAAGUUUGUGUUCAAGUAUGAGAAAGAAGCAACUGAACUAUUCAAAGUAUACCAGGGUCAGUCACUCUGUUGAUUUCUCAAGAGGUAAAUUCUUUGUUUGAUAAGUAUUUAUAUAACAACCAUGUUUAGUUUUGGUUGAUCACUGAACUCGAUUUUGUCAGAAUGUGUGUUAUUUGGAUUUCCCCAAAGAAUUUAAAUGCAUCCAACAAAUUCCGUAAAUUGUCUCUGGCAAUGUGGUAUAUUUGAUUCCUUGUUAUUUGCAAUGUGGUAAAUUUCAAACAAUAAAAAUGAAAGAGAUGUCAAUUCGGGUCCAAAUUCGAUAAUUCAAAAUUCAAUUAGUUUGGUAAUACAACAUUUACUGUUUGUAACUUCACCUCAUGACGCUGAGUUUAAAUUGCUUGACUGUUAUAAGCUCAGCAGUGUUUUCUAAUGUCAUUUGGUUUUUCUCUAAUCGUCUUGCUUGAAUUUGGGAAGGCCAAAUGCCAAAGCAGAGUACUUAAUACUCCACAACCUUUAACCUUGCAUAUACCUGACAGAAAGAGUGCCAUUUCCACCCUAUGAGGUAAUUUAGCAUAAUGUAUCUGGUGUUCUCUGGUUUCAAACAUCUGAUAUCUUUAUUGUAACUAGCCAACAAGUGCCACACAGGCUGAUUUUUUGGUGGAGAACUGGAGAUAUAAGGGCAUAUAGAAUGAAUCAUUUCUUCUUCUAGAAUCUAUAUAGUGUGCCUGUUGGUAGAAUCAAAGAACUAUUCUAGAAUCAUUCCAAGUGCAUCAGUAACAGUGACUGAGACAAAAAAAUUUUAACAAGUUUCUGUGCAAGUAUGAGAAAGAAGUUUCUGACUAUUUCAAGUAUACCCAGGGGCAAGACAAUGGAUGGCACAAAGCAGUAAAUACACGGAGCUGCCACCCUAAACAAUCUUGCUGACCAGGAAAUAAAACUCCAGUUUACACAUCCACCCACUUGGAGAAGGAUAAUUUUUGUACAUGCGAAGAAACAGUUUGUGUUCAAGUAUGAGAAAGACGUGAAUGAACUAUUCAAAAUAUACAAAGGUCAGUCACUCUGUUGAUUUCUCAAGAGGUAAAUUCUUUGUUUCGAGUAAGUAACAUAAUAACUAUUUAGAUAACAACCAUGUUUAAUUCAGUUGAUAAUUGAACUUGACUUAGUCAUAAUGCUUAAUUCAGUUGAUAAUUGAACUUGAUUUAGUCAGAAUGCUGA